CCUACGGGGGGCAGCAGUGAGGAAUAUUGGUCAAUGGGCUAAGGCCUGAACCAGCCAAGUCGCGUGAGGGAAGACGGUCCUAUGGAUUGUAAACCUCUUUUGUCGGGGAGCAACGAGGCCACGUGUGGCCGAAGUGAGAGUACCCGAAGAAAAAGCAUCGGCUAACUCCGUGCCAGCAGCCGCGGUAAUACGGAGGAUGCGAGCGUUAUCCGGAUUUAUUGGGUUUAAAGGGUGCGUAGGCGGCCUUUUAAGUCAGCGGUGAAAGUCUGUGGCUCAACCAUAGAAUUGCCGUUGAAACUGGGAGGCUUGAGUAUGUUUGAGGCAGGCGGAAUGCGUGGUGUAGCGGUGAAAUGCUUAGAUAUCACGCAGAACCCCGAUUGCGAAGGCAGCCUGCCAAGCCAUGACUGACGCUGAUGCACGAAAGCGUGGGGAUCAAACAGGAUUAGAUACCCCAGUAGUC
rnacentral:rRNA from 1 species